CGACUACAACUCCCGGGAGCCCGCGGGGAGCCCGCGGGGAGCUGAGGGGAGCUCCAGGCCCGGCCCGGCUCGGGGGUGCAGGACACACAAACUGACUUUGCCCCUGCUGAGCUCAGAGACACCUUCAAAACUCUGGUCAAGUGAGGUAAAGCCUUGCCAGCACUGCUGCCCUGCACUCACAGCAGGAAUGUGGCAGCAAGGUCACAAAAACCAUCCCUGGUGCCACCCCAGCCCGUCAGGAGCACCGCCAGAGCCCUGGAACUCAGAGCAGAGGGAGGAAGGACAUGAGGCAGCAGCAUGGCCUGGGGCUUAUGGAGACUGAAGAGAGAAAAUUCCUGAGACAGUGUCAGGGCACAGCAGCUGUUCCCCUGAGUUUUAUGGCUACAGGGUACAAAGGACCUGUCCAAAAACAAGCUUGUCACUGCCAGUUGAUAAAGCCACAGAGGAGGACUCGGUGUCCCUUGUCCUCUGUGUUGCGUAAAAGUGCUGUUGGCCAGGCCAACUAAACACACAAGCUGGGGAAAUGUGAACAUUUGUGGAGUGAGGGAAUUAUCUGCCUUGGUCCUGACACAACUGCAUUUCACGUCAGGCCAGGAGGUGAAAAGUAAAUGCUGGGAGAUAUUUUGGAAUGUGAUCAGUGGAUCUGGUGUUCCCUCCCUCAGCUUGAUUUUUGCCAGGCAGAUUUAUGUUAAUGUAAAUAUCAAAAUGAAUUAGAGGCAGGUGAGUGCAGCCAACACCAAUUGUCCUACAAGAUCCAUUCAUAGAGUUCUGGGCUCACUCAAUAAAUACUGAGAUAAUUUAAGCCUUAUUUUUGCCAGUGCUUGUUCUCAACAGGAGCUUACACAUCCAGGCUCUGAGCUAUGUCGGGUUGGGGUUUUUUUCCAAGUGAAUUUCACUUAAAAAAAAUAAAAAUGAAAUAUUUUAAAACUUAAAAUUCAUGCUAAUCUCUCUUUAAAAACAAAAUUUAAAAUUAAAUUAAAUUGUUUAAAAGAAGAAAAAUAGUUCAAGCUACUCUCUUUUAUAAAAAUAACAUUAAAAAUAAAAUUGACUGUUUGCAAAGUUACCUUUUCAGGCAUCAGCCCAAAAAGCAAUGGGUCAAAAUGCAGCUGUAAAAACUCAGCUUGGAUGUUAAGGAAAAUUUGGGCAUUUCUAGGUUUACUGCAGCAGGCUGGAGUUGCACUCCACUGAAUAUUGGGGAGAAACCUCUGUUUUUCCGUGGCCCUGUCCUGGUUUUCCAAGGAUUUUGGCAGGAAUCGUUCUUUGCCCACUGGAUGCCGCUGUUCCACAGAAAUAUUCACGGACUCUUCCCUCAGCACCUUCUGUCAGCCAUGGAAGCCGCUCCAGGGUCAGCCAGGCUAUGUGGAUUUAUCCCUGUGAACCUGCCUUUUUUUCCUCCCAGAAAAGAAAUAUCAUUAAUAUUUUGCACCUUCCAGACACAGCACGUGGAAAACUUGGGCCACUUGCUCCCUUGGUGAUGUUCUUUGAAGGUGAAUGUUUCAUGAGAUAAAAUAUAUUGGUGGGAUAAAAUUAUAUUGGUGAUUGAGGGGAAAACAGUGCCCAAAAUGUGUUUUCAGGACCUGUAGAGAGAAAUAAUCCCCUCAAAUGCAUGUCUUGCAGUGCUGUUUUGCUUAAUAUAGAAAAAAAAAUUGGUUUGGAGAAUCAUCUCCUUAAAAGCAGAGUCUGGAAGUGGCAGCAGGAGCCACUGAUGUUACCUUCAGAGGCAAUGACCUGGAUAAAGCAGCAAGGAUGAGUGUGCUCCCACUUUUGAGGGAAAAACCAAUGGUAUUUAUAGCUCAGCUCAGCCUCAGAACAAAGCAAAGUGACCUACAUCCCUCCAGUGCCCAGCUCUGGGAAUUAACUUUGAGGAAAUUCAAUCCCACAUUUAGGUCUCUCUCCUCUGAAGCAAAUGGAGCCACAGCUUAAUCGAAUCCAAGCCCAAGGGGGAGUCCUCUUUAUUCCCCCCCUCCCAGCAAUUUUUAGCACUGAAAAACAACUGGAAAAUGUAGCAAAAAGAAGAAUUAAGGGGAGCAGGACCAGGCAGGUGACAGACCCAGUGUGGGAUAAUCCCCUGUGCCAGCAGUUCUGCUUUUUGAGGGGUAUUUGGAGUCCCCUCCUGUGGCUGCUCCACACAAUAUCUGAGGCAGGAUCCCUCCAGUGCUCAGCAUCACUGAAAAUCCAGGAAAACUGGAUCAGUCUUUUGGCCUUUGCUGAGUGUCCCAGCAGUACCAGGUGGAAAACUGGCUGAAUUCUGGGGUGGCUGUGCCUAAAGCCCAAGAUUUUGUGGAGGAGUCUGAUUGAGAAAAGAAACUCAUAAUAAAUUGCUAAAUAUCAAGUUCUGCCCCUGCAUUCUGCCCACUUCCCCAGAAGCACAUAUGUUAAAAAAAAAAAAAAGGGAAAAAAAUAAAGGCAAGUUCCCAUUCAAUUAUUUCAGACUUUGGGGUUAGAGGAUUUCAAAAUCAGAAAUGUCUUCUCAGCCUUCCCUCUCUAAUCUGGUUUAUUUGUUGUGCUGGAGGAGCACA